AUGCCUUCUUUUCGAAGAAAGGAAAAGAGUAAGAUAAUUUCUUUGAAAAGCACUUUACAUAUAAAGUGUUUGGCGUGCUUUUAUGGAAUCUUGCGUCAGUGGAUGGGGUUGAUGAUAAUCUGACAAACAGAUCGAGCACUACCGCUGUCAUGGCGCCGCGUGAGAAAGUAGAAAAGGCUGGAUAUUCUCCUCAAUCAUUGCUUCUUGUUUCAAAAAAUCUCAGUCCAUGCCAACUCGAUUAGCCCCAUGAAAUGACUCAUCGGGCGAAUCAACUCGCCGGGUGAGUUGGGUUUAUUAAAUAUGAAAAACACACGAUCCUUUCAAAACAGUGAUAAUUAGCAGAAUUUCCUGUUCUUUUACCUUAACUCUUAAGUUCAAUUGCCGAAAACAAGGAAUAGUUGACAAUGACCAUGUAAGAAAACUCCAUCAGUCUAGCGAUACAAUCUUAAGACAACAUGCUUCUAAAAGCAACACAAGUUGACUUAAUUAAGCGGCAUAAUCUGGCGAAAAACAUGCCAGAUCUAGAGUGAAACAAGGUACAUGCAUGGUGAUCCUGCUAGGAAUGUUGUAGCAGCAGCAGCAUUACUCUGUGUUACCUGACUCCAUUGUCUGGAGCAGUAGUGGAGCUGUGACCACUGCCAGUGUAAGAUCAGGGGGAUUCUGAUUCACCAGACCUCUUACGAAUCUCCCUGUACUCUUGGCAAUUAGCACACAGAUGGCAGAAAAGGCUGGUAACAAAGUCACAGCAUUGCACUUCCUGCACAUAUAUAAAUGGCUUUACCCUAAGCAGUUUAUUAUCAUGUGCAGCUCGCAAGAAAGCAGUUAAAACACCGAAAUGGCUUGCUUGUCUUCUUCUCUUGAAGUAUGUGGCUCAACUGAACCACUGGUGGGAAACAACUCAAACAAGGAUCUAGACUUAGCUCAACUCGAGGACAUAGAAAUGGCAUGCUUUGUUUUGUUAGUUCAUUAAGUGUUUAGGUCAACUUUUCUGGGGUUUUGUUUGUUUUUGACAAUUGCUUCGGGGAUUUGCUAUUCACUUGCCUUGUUAGUUUGCUUUACUGUGUUUUGUUACUUUAAGAGUGGAGCUUGAAUUGGAAUGAAAAUCUUGACUAGAAAAUAUUCAUUUCUGUUGGCUGUAAGUUAGUAGAAGUAAUAUAGCAAGAGAAAGAGAGAUUAUUGCCACCACUAGAAAAUUGAAAAACGCCAACAUAAUAUUUUGUCGGCGAGUAAGCACCUUUCCGUUGAAAACCUUUAUCACCGAUGGAUCACCAACUGAAACACGUCGUCGGACAAAGUUUUGUUCAGAAUUUCUAACUGUCGUUAUUUUCACCGGUAAUUGUUAAUAAUACCAACAAGAUAUUAGUGCCAAAAAAAUAAAA